ensembl:lncRNA
GAUACAUGUCCUACAUCACCGCAGAAGUGCAGGAAAGGGUGCAGGAGGAAGUACUGGAGCCUAAUUACUACCUCCUGUUAUUUGGGACAAGUGUUUUAAAUUUGCAUUCUGCUCUGACAAGCAGUACUCCCUCUAAUGAUCUCAAGUCUUGGUUUGGAGCUGGGAAAAGGAGAUUUCCGGAUAACAUAAAAUAACUGGAGCAGUGCUCACCUCUGUGAGGAUGCUUACUCACCCAGGAGCUGAGGUCUGACCGUGGCGACCAUGAUCUGCAGUAACAUCACGUGGAUGGGGCUGACAUCUCCCCUCCCUGCCCUGCAUGCACUGAAAGCCCUUGCAGGGCACACAUCAAACCCUCUGGGUGUGGAGGAGAAGUACUGUGCAUUGAUACUGCUAUAGCUAGGACCGGGGCUCAAUCCCGAGGAUGCUGCUGGAUAUAGACAGGAGAAACACACAGAAAUGAUGCUGCAAUCAAAUACAGAGUUUACUAUUACUCACAAAACUCAGAGCUGUGAAUUGGAAGCUUAUGACCCUCCCUCAAAUAAGCACUCCUCCACCUCUUCCUACUCCUCUGAGGAGUCAAUGGGGAGGAGUGUGCUUAAACUGUGAGCUCAGUGAGGAGUCUCCACCUGAUGGGCUCCGUGUGAUGCAGAUUUCAGCCCACAUUUCACUUCUCAUGGCUGAAAGAGCAACUGCCCCAACAACUUCCUCGUCUUUGUCUCCAGAACAGGCAGAUUCGUCCUGCAUUGACUGCACAGGUGAGGCUGAGAAGACCGUUUUCCUGCAGCUUGCAGACACAGUGAUGGAGCGUGGGGAUAUUUGCUCCCCCCCGUGGGACUGCCGCCAGGUGGGUGUUGCAGCACCAGGUGGGUGUUGCAGUGCAGGUGUUUGGGGCCGCACACCCCUGCCUGGUUUUCCUGGUGUUCAUCCGGUUCGCUGACCUCCCUGGGGCUUCCCAGGUACCGCAGGGCCACAGCCCGUCUGCUGCUUGAUCAGCAGUUAUGAUUCACCUGUUGAUGCCACAGCUUAAUAACUCACUUAACUGCAGUACUUUGAUUAAAGAGCAACCUAUCU